AGUGAACGCUGGCGGUAGGCAUAACACAUGCAAGUCGAACGGCAGCACAGUAAGAGCUUGCUCUUACGGGUGGCGAGUGGCGGACGGGUGAGGAAUACAUCGGAAUCUACUUUUUCGUGGGGGAUAACGUAGGGAAACUUACGCUAAUACCGCAUACGACCUACGGGUGAAAGCAGGGGAUCUUCGGACCUUGCGCGAUUGAAUGAGCCGAUGUCGGAUUAGCUAGUUGGCGGGGUAAAGGCCCACCAAGGCGACGAUCCGUAGCUGGUCUGAGAGGAUGAUCAGCCACACUGGAACUGAGACACGGUCCAGACUCCUACGGGAGGCAGCAGUGGGGAAUAUUGGACAAUGGGCGCAAGCCUGAUCCAGCCAUACCGCGUGGGUGAAGAAGGCCUUCGGGUUGUAAAGCCCUUUUGUUGGGAAAGAAAAGCAGCAGGUUAAUACCCCGCUGUUCUGACGGUACCCAAAGAAUAAGCACCGGCUAACUUCGUG
rnacentral:rRNA from 1 species